rnacentral:rRNA from 1 species
GACGAACGCUGGCGGCGUGCUUAACACAUGCAAGUCGAGCGAUGAAGCACCUUCGGGUGUGAAUUAGCGGCGAACGGGUGAGGAACACGUGAGAAAUCUGCCUUCAACUCUGGGAUAACUCCGUGAAAACGGGGCUAAUACCGGAUAUGAAACCUGCGGGCAUCCGCGGGUUUGGAAAGUUUUUCGGUUGAAGAUGAUCUCGCGGCCUAUCAGCUUGUUGGUGAGGUAAUGGCUCACCAAGGCGACGACGGGUAGCCGGCCUGAGAGGGCGACCGGCAACACUAGGACGGAGACACGGCCCAGACUCCGGCGGGAGGGAGCAGUGGGGAAUAUUGGGCAAUGGAGGAAACUCUGACCCAGCGACGCCGCGUGCGGGAUGAAGGCCUUCGGGUUGUAAACCGCUUUCAGCAGGGAAGAAGCGAAAGUGACGGUACCUGCAGAAGAAGCACCGGCUAACUAUGUGCAGCCGCCGCCGUAA